UGCGGUUAUACAAAAAUUAAAUUAAUUUCUUUUAGGAUUUAAUAAAUAAGAAUUAAUUAAAUAAUUUAAAUUUUAAAUUAUAAAGUGAAAUUUUAAUUUAAUUAAAAUUUAUUUAUUUUUAUGAUAUUAAUAAAUUUUAUAAAAAACUAGGAUUAGAUACCCUAUUAUAAAAAUUUAAAUUUAACAAUCUUAAAAUAGUAUAUAAUUUUUUAUAGAAACUUAAAUAAUUUGGCGGUAUUUUAGUUCAUUUAGAGGAAUCUGUCUAAUAAUUGAUAAUCCACGAUUAAAUUUACUUAAUUUUUAAUUUUGUAUAUCGUUGUUAAAAAAAUAUUUUUUGAUAAAAAUAAUAUUUUAAAAUUUAAAUAAAAAAUUAAAUCAGAUCAAGAUGCAGAUUAUAAUUAAGAAUAUGAUGGAUUACAAUAAAUUUUAUUUAUUUUGGAUAUUAAUUUGAAAUAAAUUAAUUGAAAUUGGAUUUAAAUGUAAUUUUAUUAAUUUUAUUAAAAUGAUUUUAAAUUAAAAUAUGUACAUAUUGCCCGUCGCUUUCAUUUAUAAAUUGAAAUAAGUCGUAACAAAGUAGAGGUACUGGAAAGUGUUUCUAGAAAGAU
rnacentral:rRNA from 1 species